GCUGGAAUAGCUCAGUCGGUAGAGCAGCUGAUUCGUAAUCAGCAGGUCGUCAGUUCAAGUCUGAUUUCCAGCUCCA
rnacentral:tRNA from 2 species